rnacentral:tRNA from 1 species
GCCGGGGUAACUCAGCCUGGUUAGAGUGCCACGCUCAUAACGUGGAAGUCGCGGGUUCGGAUCCCGUCCCCGGCA